CUCGCCUACAGUCUACCUGAUUAAGAAGGGGAAAAAAAGCGGCAGCGAUGUAUAAAAUAUGAUGAAUUAGGGUAUCUGGAGAUUACUGGGUAUUUAGUUCAGGAGCCAGGAGGAGGCGGUGAUUUCAUAGUUGGGUUUGUAUAUUUCCAGAUUUUUUACUAAUUUUAUUUCUAUCUUCCAUGGACAUUGCAGAUCUGGCAUCCAUUUCUCAAUUGAUUUGAUUUACCUGUUGUUUAUGUAAUAUGGUAAUUCUGUUUGUUUCAUACAUGUGGUGGUGCACCCCGUUCUAAGGCUCCUCAGCAGAGGUUUCUUUUUAACUUUUCUUAAAAUAUAGAGGUGGUUGUGACAGAGUAGUUAUCUUCUAACUAAGACAUGUACACCUAAUUAAAAAGCUAAAAAUCAGAGAUUUGGAGAUAUCUUCCCUGGAAAUAAAUAAAUUUUGAACUUAUUAUUAUUAGCAGAAAGCAAAAUAGAACAUGCUAGGAUUUUAGUCCCACAUUGCUAAGAUAGUGUUUCAUGGAUUUGAGUUAUAUCCAUGUUUUAGCUAGAACCUUAUUCCGUCUUAACAAUGUGGGAUUAAGGUCCUAACAGAACAAUCUCAUAUCUGGUCGUCGACUGCUGAAGGGUAAUUGUUCUUUGUUGAAAUUGUUGCUUUAUAAUAUAGAAAGUAGUAGAGUGAAGUGUUCGCUUUGAAAUUUUGAGCUUACGACAACCCUACGUCUCUUCGGAUACUGAUCUGAUUGGUAUUGAUUUUCUUUAGUUUCCAAUAAAGAAGAAAGUUUCAUGAAAAUUGAAUUUGUAUGAUAGUCUGUCUAGUUAGUACUAAAUGAUAGCAAAUGGGUUUGCUGAUAUUUGAGCUAUGAACAACAAUUGCUAUACCAAGUGCUUUGGAGCCAGUUGGGCUAGGGGUGCAAUUACACACCCCUGCACUUCGCUGGAUCUGCCCUGGUUAAGUCAUUUUGUUAAACCAGGUCAAACUUUUGUGAUAGAUGUUAUGGCAUGUUCUGAUUGUUAUAUACGGAAACAUAAAUGGAGGCAUUUUGGUGGCUACAGAUCAUGCUAUUAUUUUUUAUUUCGCUAUCUUUUCUAAGUUUCUCAUUGGGAAGGAAAGCCCAUGUUCCCUGCCAUGUCAAGAUUAAAUAUGUUCAUGUACCCACUUAAGAUAAAAUUAUGAAGCACAAUUAGGAUCUAUUAAAGACGUUAGCGGAUCUGCAAAAUAAGAUACAUUGUCGGGUAUAUGUACACAUUCAAUUUUGAUCAUAUACUGCCCUAGUAACACAUGAUUUUGGCAUAUAUACUGCCACUUUUUGAUCAUAUACAUGCUACUGCUAUGAGGGACAUGUACACAAAUAGCAAAUGGUUGGUUACGGGCUUUCCAAACACAAUUUGGUAUAUUCUUCUCAUCAUGCCUUUUAAGAUUCUCCGAGAAAUCUUUUGUUAACUGUCUAUCAUUUUCUAAGAUGCACUUACAUCAUAUUAAUCAUCCUAGGAUUAAGAUGAUUCAAGUGCAUCUGAGAGAAUGAUGGAUGAUUAACAAAACCAACGGAGUCAUUUGACAUCAAGGAAACAAAACACUUAUGCUUUGAAGCAGCUGGAGGAUGACGCGAACCCUGAAUAAGUUGGUAUUAUUCUUUGAGUUUUUAAAGUAAUAUUCAUACAAUUAUAUGGACUUUUAAGUUUCACUGUAUUGGAUAAUGCUAUUGGCAUAUGCUAUGAGAAUAUUCUUAACCACCAGGUCCAAAACCGAAUGCAAGUGAUCCGUUUGUCUUCAGAUAAUGCCAUUUUUCCAUUUCCAUUUGAAGGACCUGCAUCAAAGUUGCAGACUACUAGUGUAAAUUUAUUUUGGAUCAAUGUGGCCAGUGAGGACUAAAACUUCAUGACCAUUUUGAGGAGACUGCAUAUAUUAUGGAAUACGGUGCUGUGGCUGGUCCAUUUUGUCUGAUAUUUAUGGAACACGUUGCUGUGGCUGGUCCAUUUUGUCUGAUAUUUACGGAAUAAGUAAGUGCAUGUUGGAAACGUCAGGUGUUCUUAAUGUUUUCCUUGUACCUUGUAAACAGAUUGCAUCUUUCUUCGACUGUUGUCCAUCAGCUAAAAUUCUAUUGAUACGAAGUAGCAAUAUAUUUCAUCAGAAAGUUGCAGCAUUGGUAGCACCUUGCCUUAUUCUGCUCAGCAUAUGGUAGUGAUAAUUGACUUAUUCUGCUCACAGCAUAUAGUAGUGAUAAGCAGAUUAUACGGCAAUCUCCAUAAGCAUGGAAACUGAGGAAACAAAGCUCAAAAUGUCAGAUAUGCAGGCAGUCGAGAAUACUCUUCCCUUGUCAGUUGUCACCCACCGGGGAUAUUUUUUUGAAAAAUGUCUCAAGAUUUUAGAAAACCCAAUUGGUAGAUUAAGGUGAAGUUGAAUCACAGGUUAAUCCA